CUUGGUCAUUUAGAGGAAGUAAAAGUCGUAACAAGGUUUUGUAAAGCAACAGAGUCCUUCUGUAGCGGAGCUUAACGGAGACCUUGCACCCGAGAGGGGGGGAGGCGACUUGCAAAAAUAAACUCCCGGCGCAAGUCAGCGCACAGCUGGCAACAUAACCGAACUGCGGGGACGCUGUAAGGCUGGACGGUACCAACCACGGCACGCCGUGGGGCGGGCUCUUAUGCCCGAGGUUAGAACCCGUCCAGAUGCAACAGUCAGCAAUCCGCAGCGGUGCUUCGGCGCCGUCCACAGACUAAGUGGUUGUGGGGAGGGCACCCGCCCUCUCUAAGAUAUAGUCGGACCGUGCGAGCGAUCGCAUGGGCUUCUGCGUCCGUAGGUGAACCUGCGGAAGGAUCAUUACAAGUGAGCUGGUGACCGCGGGCAACCGCGCUCUCCCAGCUACACCCACCCGUGUUUAUCUAUUCUUGUUGCUUUGGCAGGCCGCGGUCUACCGCUGCGGGCGCUCCGCUCGUACGUGCCUGCCAGAGGAUGAAACUCUGAAUAUUAGUGAUGUCUGAGUACUAUAUAAUAGUUAAAACUUUCAACAACGGAUCUCUUGGUUCUGGCAUCGAUGAAGAACGCAGCGAAAUGCGAUAAGUAAUGUGAAUUGCAGAAUUCAGUGAAUCAUCGAAUCUUUGAACGCACAUUGCGCCCGGUGGUAUUCCGCCGGGCAUGCCUGUUCGAGCGUCAUUUGACCACUCGCGCCUGGCGUGGUGUUGGGGUACGCGGCUCCGCGGCCCUUAAAAGCAGUGGCGGCGCCGGUUGGCUCUAAGCGUAGUAAUACUCCUCGCUAUAGGGAUCCCGCCGGUGGCUCGCCAGAACCCCCACACCUUUUACAGGUUGACCUCGGAUCAGGUAGGGAUACCCGCUGAACUUAAGCAUAUCAAUAAGCGGAGGA
rnacentral:rRNA from 1 species